UUUUUGAAAAUAAUUUAAAGUCUAAUCUGCCCACUGAUAAAUUAUUAAAGGGCUGCAGUAUUUUGACUGUACAAAGGUAGCAUAAUCAUUAGUCUCUUAAUUGGUGACUUGUAUGAAAGAUUGGAUGAAAUAUAUACUGUCUCUAUUUAAUUUAUAAAAUUUAAUUUUUUAGUAAAAAAGCUAAAAUGAAUUUAAAAGACGAGAAGACCCUAUAGAGUUUGAUAAUUUAUUUAAUUAUUAUUAAUAUAUAAAUUUUAAAAUUAAAAUUAAAUAAAUUAUUUUGUUGGGGUGAUAGAAAAAUUAAAUUAACUUUUUUUUAUUUUAUACAUUAAUUUAUGAAUGAAUGAUCCAUUAAUAAUGAUUAAAAGAAAAAAUUACCUUAGGGAUAACAGCGUAAUUUUUUUUUUUAGUUCAAAUAGGAAAAAAAGUUUGCGACCUCGAUGUUGGAUUAAGAUAAAAUUUAAAUGCAAAAGUUUAAAAUUUUGAUCUGUUCGAUCAUUAAAAUCUUACA
rnacentral:rRNA from 1 species